UUCCAGCCCCUGUGAUUCUGUGUGUGUGUCAGAACACAGGAAGCAACCACACGUUGCACAGAAGCUGUGACAGCAGCCAUGAUCCCAGGGUGGCUCCACACCUUGCAGAUCCCUGCCUGACUUCCUCGGAACAGCUGAAACCCUCAGGAACUGCAGCCAGAAAUAAGGUUUGCAUGAGACCAUCCUUGAAAAGGGGAGAGCAUCCAAAGAAACACCAGUCUCAGCUGGGAAGCACAGAACAGCUGAAUGGAAAGGCAAAUAAUGCUAGAAGUAAUUCUGCGUGGUCACUCCAGCUUUUUCCUCCCCAUCCUGCCCUCCUAUGAUAAAGAUUAAGGCCACUUAAGGCCAUUCUUGCAGUGAAA